GAUGAACGCUGGCGGCGUGUCUAAGGCAUGCAAGUCGAACGAUCUCUUCGGAGAUAGUGGCAAACGGGAGAGUAACACAUUGGUAUCUACCCUCAAGUCGGGGAUAAUCACGCGAAAGUGUGACUAAUACCCGAUAGUCUCGCAAGAGUAAAGUUUUUCGCUUGAGGAAGGGCCUAUGUACCAUCAGCUUGUUGGUAGUGUAAUGGACUACCAAGGCAACGACGGUUAGCGGGCGUGAGAGCGUGGCCCGUCUCACUGGGACUGAGACACUGCCCAGACUCCUACGGGAGGCUGCAGUCAAGAAUCUUCCGCAAUGGGCGAAAGCCUGACGGAGCGACGCCGCGUGCAGGAUGACACCCUUAGGGGCGUAAACUGCUUUUAUCAGGGACGAAUUAGUGACGGUACCUGAUGAAU
rnacentral:rRNA from 1 species